rnacentral:rRNA from 1 species
ACUCAAAUGAAUUGACGGGGGCUCACACAAGCGGUGGAGCAUGUGGCUCAAUUCGAAGCAACGCGAAGAACCUUAUCCAGGGCUUGACAUGCACGGAUUAGUUCCCUGAAAGGGGAAUGACACCGCAAGGUGGAACGUGCACAGGUGCUGCAUGGCUGUCGUCAGCUCGUGCUGUGAAGUGUCGGGUUAAGUCCCUUAACGAGCGAAACCCCUGCCUCUAGUUGCCAUCGGGUCAUGCCGGGCACUCUAGCGGGACUGCCGGUGUCAAACCGGAGGAAGGUGGGGAUGACGUCAAGUCCUCAUGGCCUUUAUGCCCUGGGCUGCACACGUGCUACAAUGGCGCUUACAAAGCGAAGCGAGGCCGCAAGGCGGAGCAAAUCGCAUAAAAAGCGCCCCAGUUCAGAUCGCGGUCUGCAACUCGACCGCGUGAAGCCGGAAUCGCUAGUAAUCGCGGAUCAGCUACGCCGCGGUGAAUAAGUUCCUGAGCCUUGCACACACCGCCCGU